GAUUUGAUUUGGUUUGAAAAACCAAAUUAAAACAAGUCAUAAGAUAGAAUCCUAGUAAGACUAGGAUUCCACCUUGCGCCACAUAAUCCUUCUCCACGCCCUCUCUCUUAUUCAAUGUCAAUCUCCACUUAUUUUGUGUGACAAAAGCCCUCUCUCAGAUCUCUCCCACGUUCACAAAAGGUCUCCUCUCUUCUUUCUUACAUGGAAGGUGGUUUGGAUCAAAUCUAAAAGGAAUAAGUUUGGAUUUUGAAUUUUAUGAGAUAGAGUUUUAGAAAUCCAAAACUCUUUCAAUUUUGCACCGAAUUUAUCCAAUUUUUUUUUAAAAUUUUCAUGGCUUUUAGGGUAUACAUUGUGCACCAUUUUCUGGUAAUCCAUGCACAAAAAUAUGAAGGAGGUGCUCAAGAGUUGGGCGUCCCUUAACUUGCCAUGUUUGGAUAAGCCUUGACUAGGUGUUUGACUUAGACAAGGACUCUAUCAUAUCUCUCUAUAUAAGAUGAGUUUCUUUAUGAAAUUUUAGAAAAAGUCAUAGAUUUGAGAGACCUUUGUUUCAUCCAAAAAUUAGAAAGAAAUACCUUUGGGUCAUGGAGAUAUAAAAGAUGCAAGUUUGAGCGUCUAGAGAGAAAAACGUGAAGAAGAAGAGGGUCUUCUUCUAGGGUUUUUGUUUUCAUAUCUUUCCUCCCUCCAUCUUGAGUUUCCUGAGAGCAUCUCAGAUCUGAAACUCCUCCUUCUACUUUUCAUCUUUGGAAGAGUCCAAAUCAAGAAGAAGGAGGCACCUGAUCAACCAUCAAAGAAAGAUCAGCACAGUACUAGCAUACUGUGCUGAUUUCCUGAAGCAGGACUUCUGAUCGAGAUUCGUGGGCUCGUGUGGAUGACUCCUAGAGGCCGGACAUGNNNNNNNNNNNNNNNNNNNNCAAUUUUGCACCGAAUUUAUCCAAUUUUUUUUAAAAUUUUCGUGGCUUUUAGGAUUUACAUUAUACACCCUUUUCUGGUAAUCCAUGCAUGAAAAUAUGGAGGAGGUGCUCAAGAGUUGGGCGUCCCUUAACUUGCCAUGUUUGGAUAAGCCUUGACUAGGUGUUUGACCUAGACAAGGACUCUAUCAUAUAUCUCUAUAUAAGAUGAGUUUCUUUGUAAAAUUUUAGGA
rnacentral:lncRNA from 1 species